rnacentral:rRNA from 1 species
UACGGAGGGGGCUAGCGUUGUUCGGAAUGACUGGGCGUAAAGCGCGCGUAGGCGGAUCGGAAAGUUGGGGGUGAAAUCCCGGGGCUCAACCCUGGAAUGGCCUUCAAAACUCCCGGUCUUGAGUUCGAGAGAGGUGAGUGGAAUUCCGAGUGUAGAGGUGAAAUUCGUAGAUAUUCGGAGGAACACCAGUGGCGAAGGCGGCUCACUGGCUCGAUACUGACGCUGAGGUGCGAAAAGCGUGGGGGAGCAAAACAGGAUUAGAUACCCCUGUAGUCC